GACGAACGCUGGCGGCGUGCCUAAUACAUGCAAGUAGGACGCAGUUGCGAACGGGUGAGUAACGCGUAGGUAACUACCUAUUAGAGGGGGGUAACUAUUGGAAACGAUAGCUAAUACCGCAUACUAAUAGAUGGACCUGCGUUGUAUGAGCUAGUAGGUAGGGUAAUGGCCUACCUAGGCAACGAUACAUAGCCGACCUGAGAGGGUGAUCGGCCAAACUGGAACGGAGAAAAGGCCCAGAAGCCGACGGGAGGCAGCAGUAGGGAAUCGUCGGCAAGGGGGGGAACACUGACCGAGCAACGCCGCGGGAGUGAAGAAGGUUUUCGGAUCGUAAAGCUCUGUUGUUAAGGAAGCGGUACUUAACCAGAAAGGGACGGCUAACUACGUGCCAACCGCCGCGGUAAUUC
rnacentral:rRNA from 1 species